UGUUGUGUGGCUUAGUUGGUUAAAGCGCAGGAUUAGCGAUGCGGAGUCAUGGGUUUGAAUCCCACCAAAACAA
rnacentral:tRNA from 1 species